CCCAGAGUGAAAGACAGAGGAACCAAUCGAGGCUCGGCUGACCUCAGACGUCUAAGGCGAUAGGCGUUGCUAAGAAAAGGGGGUGGGACGAUACCCAGUUGCCAAGACGACGGCUUCCGGGUGGGCGGCUUGAGGUGGCUUCCGGCCGCCAGGCGAGACUCCGCGGGAAAACUCCCUGCUAGAGAGACUAGGAGAUUUGGGGCUGCGGCCGUUUCCUCCGGAGCACCCACGGGACUGUGUGCUGGGGUCCCUCCACCGGCUGUGUCCUUUAUUCUUCUUUCUCACCCAACGAUUUACCUGAACGGUUAUAAAGUGCACGUUAUUUCCCUAAGCACUUUGAGUAUAUUGGCCCACUGCAUUCUGGACUUCAAAAUUUCUGAUGCGAAAUAUGCUGAUACUUUUGUUGAAGAAAUCUGGUCCUUCUUACUGAUGUGUUGCUCUUCUUCAUGGCUCGUGAAAACUAUUAGAGUCAUCCAAGGGUGGGAAGAGAGAUCAGCAACGUUAACUGGGUGUCAAGAAAACAUACCGAGAUUGAAGCCAUCCACUUCUGCAGGAACACCGAAAAGAAAGGACUGUGAAGACAACCAGAGUGGGAAGGAACCUCAGAAACCUUUGGACCAACAGAGGAAAAAGCCCAGAGGUGCAGGACAUAGAUCAAAACCAGUCGCAUGCGAGUCAUUCUAGGAUCCGGCCAAAGUUAAUUAACAGAGGGCCAUUCAGUCUCCACCGAGUCAAACAAUAAUUAGGAUGAAACAAUCCUAUUAACCCAUGGAUUUAAUGUCUACAAAGCAGAAAGUAGAAUAACUUGGACUUAAAGGCUGAAUGACCCAUUUCUUCAGCCUCCUCUCAAAGGCAAUAUUUCUCAGCCCUUCAGUCAUUUUCAUUGCUCUCUUCUGGCCUCUCUCCAAGAUUCUGUAUCUUGUUUAAAUAGUGAAGUCCAACACCGAACAUGAUUUAAGAACAGUCAUGCCUGGAAAAGUAACAAAGGCCCAACGAAUACGGACUCCAGAAAGUAAACAUUUUCUCAAAAACAAAAGUAUUGUAAUAUUAAUAAUGGUAGUAAGAAUUAGGUUGACCAAAUAAAAUCAUUUUUGUUGCCC
rnacentral:lncRNA from 10 species